CCUACGGGAGGCAGCAGUAGGGAAUAUUGCACAAUGGGGGAAACCCUGAUGCAGCAACGCCGCGUGGGGGAUGAAGGUUUUCGGUUUGUAAACCCCUAUCGUCAGAGAAGAAAAUGACGGUAUCUAACUAAUAAGCACCGGCUAACUACGUGCCAGCAGCCGCGGUAAUACGUAGGGGGCAAGCGUUACCCGGAUUUACUGGGUGUAAAGAGAGCGUAGACGGGAGUGCAAGUCUGAAGUGAAAGGCUAUGGCUCAACCAUAGAACUGCAUUGGAAACUGUACGUCUGGAGUACGGGAGAGGUAAGUGGAAUUCUUAGUGUAGGGGUGAAAUGCGUAGAGAUUAGGAGGAACACCAGUGGCGAAGGCGGCUUACUGGAACAUAACUGACGUUGAGGCGCGAAAGCGUGGGGAGCAAACAGGAUUAGAUACCCGUGUAGUC
rnacentral:rRNA from 1 species